AUGAACGCUGGCGGCGUGCCUCAUACCUGCAAGUCGAGCGCACAGACGAGGAGCUUGCUCCUCUGACGUUAGCGGCGGACGGGUGAGUAACACGUGGAUAACCUACCUAUAAGACUGGGAUAACUUCGGGAAACCGGAGCUAAUACCGGAUAAUAUAUUGAACCGCAUGGUUCAAUAGUGAAAGACGGUUUUGCUGUCACUUAUAGAUGGAUCCGCGCCGCAUUAGCUAGUUGGUAAGGUAACGGCUUACCAAGGCAACGAUGCGUAGCCGACCUGAGAGGGUGAUCGGCCACACUGGAACUGAGACACGGUCCAGACUCCUACGGGAGGCAGCAGUAGGGAAUCUUCCGCAAUGGGCGAAAGCCUGACGGAGCAACGCCGCGUGAGUGAUGAAGGUCUUCGGAUCGUAAAACUCUGUUAUUAGGGAAGAACAAAUGUGUAAGUAACUAUGCACGUCUUGACGGUACCUAAUCAGAAAGCCACGGCUAACUACGCG
rnacentral:rRNA from 1 species